rnacentral:rRNA from 1 species
UACGGAGGGUGCAAACGUUGCUCGGAAUCAUUGGGCGUAAAGCGCACGUAGGCGGUCCGUUAAGUCGGAUGUGAAAGCCCUCGGCUUAACCGAGGAAGUGCAUCCGAAACUGGCGGGCUUGAGUACGGAAGAGGGUCUCGGAAUUCCCGGUGUAGAGGUGAAAUUCGUAGAGAUCGGGAGGAACACCCGUAGCGAAGGCGGCACUCUGGGCCGGUACUGACGCUGAGGAGCGAAAGCGUGGGGAGCAAACAGG